GAUGAACGCUGGCGGCGUGCCUAAUACAUGCAAGUCGAGCGAACAGACGAGGAGCUUGCUCCUCUGACGUUAGCGGCGGACGGGUGAGUAACACGUGGAUAACCUACCUAUAAGACUGGGAUAACUUCGGGAAACCGGAGCUAAUACCGGAUAAUAUAUUGAACCGCAUGGUUCAAUAGUGAAAGACGGUUUUGCUGUCACUAAUAGAGGGAUCCGCGCCGCAUUAGCUAGUUGGGAAGGUAACGGCUUACCAAGGCGACGAUGCGUAGGCGAACUGAGGGGGUGAUCGGCCACCCUGGAACUGAGACACGGUCCAGACUCCUACGGGAGGCAGCAGUAGGGAAUCUUCCGCAAUGGGCGAAAGCCUGACGGAGCAACGCCGCGUGAGUGAUGAAGGUCUUCGGAUCGUAAAACUCUGUUAUUAGGGAAGAACAAAUGUGUAAGUAACUAUGCACGUCUUGACGGUACCUAAUCAGAAAGCCACGGCUAACUACGUG
rnacentral:rRNA from 1 species